rnacentral:rRNA from 1 species
AGAACUUAGCAGAGAUGCUUUGGUGCCUUCGGGAACUCUGAGACAGGUGCUGCAUGGCUGUCGUCAGCUCGUGUUGUGAAAUGUUGGGUUAAGUCCCGCAACGAGCGCAACCCUUAUCCUUUGUUGCCAGCGGUCCGGCCGGGAACUCAAAGGAGACUGCCAGUGAUAAACUGGAGGAAGGUGGGGAUGACGUCAAGUCAUCAUGGCCCUUACGAGUAGGGCUACACACGUGCUACAAUGGCGCAUACAAAGAGAAGCGACCUCGCGAGAGCAAGCGGACCUCAUAAAGUGCGUCAUAGUCCGGAUUGGAGUCUGCAACUCGACUCCAUGAAGUCGGAAUCGCUAGUAAUCGUAGAUCAGAAUGCUACGGUGAAUACGUUCCCGGGCCUUGUACACACCGCCCGUCACACCAUGGGAGUGGGUUGCAAAAGAAGUAGGUAGCUUAACCUUCGGGAGGGCGCUUACCACUUUGUGAUUCAUGACUGGGGUGAAGUCGUAACAAGGUAGGCGUAGCGAG